CCAGACUCCUACGGGAGGCAGCAGUGGGGAAUAUUGCACAAUGGGGGGAACCCUGAUGCAGCGACGCCGCGUGGGCGAGGAAGUAUUUCGGUAUGUAAAGCCCUAUCGGCAGGGAAGAAGAAAUGACGGUACCUGAAUAAGAAGCACCGGCUAAAUACGUGCCAGCAGCCGCGGUAAUACGGAGGAUGCGAGCGUUAUCCGGAUUUAUUGGGUUUAAAGGGUGCGUAGGCGGAUCGUUAAGUCAGUGGUCAAAUUGAGGGGCUCAACCCCUUCCCGUCAUUGAAACUGGCGCUCUUGAGUGGAAGAGAAGUAUGCGGAAUGCGUGGUGUAGCGGUGAAAUGCAUAGAUAUCACGCAGAACCCCGAUUGCGAAGGCAGCAUGCCGGCUUCCGACUGACGCUGAAGCACGAAAGCGUGGGGAUCGAACAGGAUUAGAUACCCUCGUAU
rnacentral:rRNA from 1 species